CCCUCCCCUCCAGCUGGCUGCAGGCCCCGGCGGCUUUCCUGACUCUGCCCGCCGCGCCUGAUCCAACAGAUUCAAUUCCAGCAUUUCUUGAACAAGAUUAGAAGCCUACCUACAGGUUUGUUAAGUUUUGAUGUGCAUGACUGAGGCAAGGAACUGUCUAGUGGGCUAGCAUUCUAGAUGAGGAAACUAGGGCACAGGAAAAGGUGAAUGUCCUGUGGAGAUCCCAUGGCACAAGGGGCAGAGGUGUGAUUCAAACCAACAGUCUGAUUCUAGGGCCCCAUCUUUACCUCCACACUCUUACUUUCCCAAACGAAUUAUCUGAGAAAUAUGUCAUCUCCAGCUUGGAUUAAGAAAUGGUACAGUAAUCUUACCACCUAAUUUUACUCCCUAAUUGUUCCCAGGAUAUUAAGGACUAGAGUUGGGCAUUCCCUGCUACAUUUUGGUUUUCUUAAAAAUCCCUAGCUAUUUUCCAAUAUAUGUCAUUUUAUAGAAGAUAUUUUUUCCCAAGUUUUUUUUUUUCCUUCCUGAGGAAACAAAAGCAUGUUUUAACAGCACACAAUCCAUAUGCUGCUGAUUUACUUGUACUCAAAUCUCCAAAGUGUUGCUUUAUAAGAGCUAUUUUAUUCCCUUCAAACUGGCUUGAAUAAACAUUUCUUAACAUUUUCUUCCUCUUGAACGCUAAGUGGUAUUUUGCUAGGGAAAGAAUAUUCUGAGAACACCAUAACUUGAUUGGUUUAAGAAGCCAGGGCUUCUUAAAAGGCCCUGGAAAAAUAUGCUUCCCCAUCCACAGCUAAAUCAUAGGAUGAUUCAGAACCUCUGGGCAGUUAAUGGCAUGGGUUAAGGAUGCUGAUUGCUCCAAAGACACGGAAGAGUUUUUAAUCGUUGGCCAUUCCUAUGCACCCCAUGGUGGAAUUGUAAGUAUUUUUUCUUCUCUAUACAGAAAAAGAAAGAAAGAAAGAAAAAAAAGGUGAGUGGGAGAAGAAAUUUCUCUUGUCAGCCUGAGCUUUAAAAAGAAGGAGGAAGUAUGGGAUGAGUGGAUGUUUUUAAGCUCAGGCAUAUGUUGGAGGGGGAGGAAAUGAGACUGAGUGAGAAACAAAGUGCUGACGCUGAGGAUCCUCCGCGGCCUCAGGAUGACCCAGGAAUCUCACCAGUUCCUGUAAAAAACGCCACAUGCUAAGAGCAUGCUUUGUCAAAGAAGUGCCAGCACUGAGUGAAAUCAGAAGAAUUAGGAGUGGUGUGAACCAGGGCUCCUUGUAAGGUGAGAACUCAGUUUCCCUUCAUCCAUCCAUUGUCCAUCCAUCCACCUGUCCGUCCAUCUGUCCAUCUAUCCAUCUAUCUAUCC